GUGGAUUAGAUACCCUGGUAGUCCACGCCGUAAACGAUGGAUACUAGCUGUUGGAGGUAUCGACCCCUUCAGUAGCGAAGCUAACGCGUUAAGUAUCCCGCCUGUGGAGUACGGUCGCAAGACUAAAACAUAAAGGAAUUGACGGGGACCCGCACAAGCGGUGGAUCGUGUUCUUUAAUUCGAUGCUAAACGAAGAACCUUACCAGGGCUUGACAUCUAGGGAAUUUUUGGGAAACCAAUUAGUGCCUUUUGGAACCCUAUGACAGGUGAUGCAUGGUCGUCGCCAGCU
rnacentral:rRNA from 1 species